UGCUCUGUGAUUAUGUACCUACAAUGGGCAAUAUAUGUUAUUUUGAUUCAGAACAUGACUGGAUAACUUUUGAGAGAAAUUAUGAGAGCA